rnacentral:rRNA from 1 species
GAUGAACGCUGGCGGCGUGCCUAAUACAUGCAAGUCGAGCGAACUGAUUAGAAGCUUGCUUCUAUGACGUUAGCGGCGGACGGGUGAGUAACACGUGGGCAACCUGCCUGUAAGACUGGGAUAACUUCGGGAAACCGAAGCUAAUACCGGAUAGGAUCCUCUCCUUCAUGGGAGAUGAUUGAAAGAUGGUUUCGGCUAUCACUUACAGAUGGGCCCGCGGUGCAUUAGCUAGUUGGUGAGGUAACGGCUCACCAAGGCAACGAUGCAUAGCCGACCUGAGAGGGUGAGCGGCCACACUGGGACUGAGACACGGCCCAGACUCCUACGGGAGGCAGCAGUAGGGAAUCUUCCGCAAUGGACGAAAGUCUGACGGAGCAACGCCGCGUGAGUGAUGAAGGCUUUCGGGUCGUAAAACUCUGUUGUUAGGGAAGAACAAGUACGAGAGUAACUGCUCGUACCUUGACGGUACCUAACCAGAAAGCCACGGCUAACUACGUGCCAGCCGCCGCUGUAAAAC